rnacentral:lncRNA from 1 species
CUUAAAAAGAAGCAAGUCUUUACAAGUACCAACAAAAACAAAUCAAAACUCUUCAGAGCUUGAGAGAGAGAUCUUGGUCUACGUCUUCCCCAGCUUCCUCCAUAGUUCUUUCCCCCUCGAGAGGGGGGAUCUUGGUCUGCAUCUUCCUCAGCUUCCUCCAUGGUUCUUUCCCUGAAUCCUUCCACGACCGUUCUCUUGGCUACCUCCGUGAGGUUGGUAGCUUCGUUGAUUGAAGGCACAGUAACAUUAGCAGUAUCCUCAUCUUCCUCUGGCCUAUUCACAUACUCCAGCUCAUCAAAGCCAGGUAGGAUCAGGGGCGAAUAAGGUGUAGAAGACUCAGGAAACUUGGGAGCAAGAGCAGCCUUGGCCCAUGCUGGGUUGUCUUCAAGGAUGUCGAGCUCAAUUGGAUAAACAGUCCAUUCCUCCAUGAAGGCCUCAAAAUGAAUCUCGGCGACCUGCUUAUUAUAGUUGUCCCUUGCCCGACUAACCCCCUAUUGAAGACUCGCUCAUAGAUAGGGCCAUAGGCUACUACUUGAAGCUCGUCAAGAGCAGCCUCAACAGUAGUAGCUUUAUUUAAGGUUGGUUUGCGGCCGUGUAGCUGGUAUCCUGGGCUUGUUCAAUAGCAGCCAAAUUUGCCUUGAGCUGAUCAAUAGCAGCCAGAUCGAGCUUGGCCUUGUUUAGCUCAAACUCCAAGUUGCCCACCUUUUUCUUGACCCUUUUAAGCUUAACUAACUACUCCUUCAUGCGAUCCGAGAAGACAGUUGCUCUUUGAAGGCUCUACAAAGAAAAAACAUAGAAAACAUCAAGUAUCGAAAAUGCAAUUCAAAAAUACCAAGGUCAAGACGCUCACCUAAACUUUUUACAUCACCGAAAGGUCCUAGAACGUCUCCGAGGAUUCCUUGUUAAGGGCAGCAACAUCGUUUGAUAGCAAGAUAGCACGUACAAGGGCCAUGCUGGUGUCGUAAUCUUUAGUAGAAUCAGUCACUGUUACUUGACUGCUAAGCUCACAACUGGAGAACUUGGGCUUCUAAAGCUUGGCCGGAGCACCCGAGCUCGUUUCCCACGCCCUCCUUUUGGACCUCCUAGAUGUGCCCUCCGUAAGAUCUUUCCUCUUGCGUUUAUCUAAAAGAGGGGCCUCUGACGAGUCCGAAUUGACCCCAAUGAUUGCCUCAUCUAGCCCUAUAAUUAAAUCAACAGUUUGCUCGGAGACUUGGCUGACGGGAGAAGUUGACGUAGAAGGAAAAUCGGCAACCGGCAUACUCUUCGUUUUUAGAUUCCUGAACCUUAUUAUGUUGGCUUCGCCUGAACUGUUGUCAGAAUCGUUGGUUUCCCUAAAAGAAGGCAUAAUCUUAACUUCUCUCACAGACCAAGGUGGAGUGUGGGCAAAGUCGUUUGAAUGCUCGUUAUCUGAACCCGAGAUAGAGAUAGGCAGGGCUAGUUCUCCUAGUUCGUUCGUAGGAGUCACCCAGCCGUGGCUUUUGUUCAGCACGUGCUGGCCGAUAUCCUCCUCCUCUUCCUCCUCUUUGCUAUUAAAGGAAUCCGAAGAAGUGUAACUUGACGAGCUUGAGGUGAUGCCCUCUCCUCGACCUUGGACUAGGGCAGCGAGUCGGUGCGCACUGAGCUCAUCUGCGAACCUCUCUAGAUUGAAGAUGUCACUCUGCGAAGCUCGGCCUUCAAUGCACAGGGAGGAAGAUUGACCCUACUGAGCUCUUCGAUCCUGCAACAAAUUGUAUGUUGAUAGAUCGGCUCGUACACAAAGAGACUGGCUACCUCCCUAGAUUCUUACCUAUUGUUGGCAGCCUAUAUGGCCUUCUUGAACUAUUCAGAAUGAGAACUUGUCGUUGAAAUCUACACAAACAACAGAAAGAGACAUCAGCUUUAGUAUAAAGAAAAUUCACAAAACAUGAAGAACACGGACUCGACAAAAGAAAUACUUACUGUCAAGUAAACGUCUAUUGUAUCUCAAAAAUAACCAGAGACCGUCGUCCCCAAUCUGGAACUCCCAAGCACCCAAAACCCAAACAAAUUCAUCCAGGAACAAAUCUUUGUUCGGGUUGCUGGUGACCAACCUCGUUUGAGGCUUGUUAGGAUUAUCCGUAUAGAGGGGAUUGCCUGAUUCCCUCUUCAACUGAACUACGGUGAAGACAUGAAGCAGAUCCUUAGCAUUAAAGGGCUUAUCUAGUAGACGCAUUAACAUGUCAAACGCAAGCAUGGUUCAGAUGAAGUUGACAGACACUUGCAUGAAGGUUAGGCGGCAGCGCGCCAUCACCUCCUUUAGCAUCGGGAUAAUAGGGAAUCGUAGCUCGUCCUGGAAGAUCAGCCAAGUGCGGACCAAGAUGCAAUCCUCAUUACCCUCCACUAGACGUGCAACCUUGUUCGGCUAGGGGCGAUGUAUGAAAACAUUCGCUAGGAUGCCGUUUUGGCCCUAAACCUUUCCAUAGCCUCAUCGUCAUGAACCAACAAUUAAGCUCGGUUCAAUUCCAUGUUCUGAAAACAGAAGCAAGCCAGUUAGAACUAUCUCAAUUAGCCAAUUGUAAUGAGCAUUCGGGGACAGAUUCAUACGAGCUCGAUGAGAGCAUCAGACUCUACCCUAACAACACUACUUCAGACCCACCUCGACAAUAGAAGGGUCUAGAGGACAAAAUCGUUAGGCCAUCGAUCGAAAGGAACAGGUCAAGGGUGACCCAGUUUGAAGAGAUUCAAAUUCCAACAAUGGCAGAUGAUCCAAAGUCAAAAAAUCAAAUAUAGACAGCAGAUAGAAAAUUUUCAAAGCAAAUCCAAGAACCCAAAUCUAAAAGUGCAGGAAAAAUAUCAAAUGCAAAUCACGAUAUGAUAUACAAAUCACAGAAAAGAAAUAAAGAUUGAAAGCUUACCAAAGCUAAGCUCAGAAGAAAAUCAACAUCGUAGAAGUCAAAGACCGCUUGUCGAAAACCAGAAUGCUAGUCAAAAGGAUGAUCGGAGGAUUGCAGCAGACAGAGGGACACUCUUUCUCUCUCUAAGAUGCUCUCGAAGGUUCGAAACACAGUGAGGAUAAAUAAAAGGCAAAGAGACACCAAAGAAGGAAGGUAAAAAGACAGGAAAAUAGCCAGAACGUGCCUUAGUGGGCAUGUGAAGUCACGCACUAGUAACCGCUUCUCAAGACCUACGAGACACAAUCACGUGGCAACUGCUUGGAUGUGCGUCCGCACCAAGCGAGCCCUAGGGAUAGAUAGGGGACAUUGGCGCCUAUAUUAGAAACGUGCUCAUAGUUUAACCAAGUUCGACCGCGUGGCUCCAACAUUUAAGGAAGACAGCUAGCAGGCAUCAACUUGUAUGCCUAGCAACGAACUUAAAGAAUGAAUACGUCCAACUCAUAUGAACUGAAGGACAAUUGUAAAGGGACAAGUCAUACAAUGACAUGAUCUGGCCUUGCUAGGGCAGGGACCCCCGACAUAAGGAUGGCAAUUUCCCCGGAUAAAUUGGGUCCCCAUCCCGCCCCUCCCCUACCCUACCCUAAUAGGGCGGGUUUGGAGUAAAAAUAACGGGUUCGGGGCAGGUUAUGAGAGAAAUUAUAACCUGGGUCAGGUUUGGGGCGGAUUCAAAUUUAGUCUACUAACCCCCGACCCGAUUAUAUGUAAAUACACAAAAUUACCCCUAUUUUUUGAUCAUACCAUAAGAUGUUUACUAUAUAUAUAUCAAUAAUGAGAGACAUAUAUAUUUAUACCAUUUAUAAAAAAUAUAUAUAUAAUUAAAAAAAUAUUAAACAGGGCAGGGCAGGGAUAGGGGCAUGAGUCCUAACCCGUCAUGGGUUUGGGAUAGAGGUCAAUGAGAUUUUUCUUAAUUGGGGCGGGACGGGUUGGGACGAAACUGUCCUGAACCUACCCUGUUGCCAUCCCUACCCUAACGAGCUAUCUCUAUAAAGUAAGCUCAGUGGUCCCUUAUGCUGGAGCUCGGUGCAGACCCUUGUACACUAGCCUUGCUAGGGCGGAGAUCUCCACUAAGCUAUCACUAUAGAGGAAAGCUCGAGGAUCCUCCGCGCCGAAGCUCAGAGCAGUCAAUUACCGAAGAUAAUUGUCGUCUGAGCUAAGGCCAUCGUUACUUCCGAGCUGUCACUAUUUAACAAGCUAAGAAUAAUAACCGCACUAGAGCUUGGACAUGGCACAAUGGUCGGCGGUAAUCCCGAGAAGUGUUAGGAGACAGAAAGUGACUUUUACGUUAGAGUUCCUCUUGACAGCCUCCACGCUGGGAUGGAGACGUUGGCAGUUGAUGAUGAGCUACUUGCCAAGCCAUAGAGGCAUGGUUGGGUCAGUCGCCUACUCGCUGACACAGCGGUCGGCGCGUAUGAGCAAGUACUGAGCUGCAGUCUAUCAAGUGACAAGACAGAUAGUGCGUUAAGGCACAUGCUGAGCUAAGCAAUAAAAGGAGAACAAUUGUUCUCACAAAGGUACGCACAACCUUGCCAUUGAACUAUACAUACACUUUCUCUAUCUAAAUUUUCAGACGUCUAACUUGAUCGUCGGAGGACCGUUUUUCGAAAAUAGUUCUGGCGUCCGGUCUCACUGUUUCAGUGAUUGCAGCUAGGGCAUCAUUGGUUGGACGGACGACGGGUGGGUUGUAGCUACCUACGCAGCCAUAGAACCUCCGCUGUUGUCUAUCCUCAAUUUCCUUCCUCAUAUCCUUCAAACACAAUACCCUAUAAUAUUAUAUAUAUAUAUAUAUAUAUAUAUAUAUAUAUAUAUAUGUAGCUGUUGUCUAUCCUCAAUUUCCUUCCUCAUAUCCUUCAAACACAAUACCCUAUAAUAUUAUAUAUAUAUAUAUUAUAUAUAUAUAUAUAUAUAUGUAUGAAGUCAACUUGUUGCUUAUUUUCUUUGUUUAAUUUUUAGUUUAAGACAUUAAAAGCAAAUUAGGUGGAAAUUAAUUUUCUUCUUCUGUUUUCUUUCCUUUUUCUUCCAUCCUUUCCUUUUUUUCUUUUUCUUUUAAACUGUGUUUAAAUCCUAGAUUUAGUUAUGGAAAAAAAUAAA